rnacentral:tRNA from 1 species
GGAGACGUCCGGGUGCCUGGUGGCCCCCUCGGCCUUCAAAGCCGAUGGCGCCGAGAACCUCGGCGCGGCGGGUUCGAUUCCCGUCCGUCUCCGCCA